UUCAAGGAAAAAGAAGAGGCUCUUUUCCUUUUGGCUGAUGACUGCAACCAAGGAUGAAAUUGAGGCUCAACUGACCCUACCAGGCACACCAAGGCUCAUCAUGUUAGGGGACCCUUUUACUUUCACAUAAUUACAGAAGAU